GGAAGGGGCAGGUGGGACGGGAGAGGACAGUGCAGGAGAGCGUCUGGAAGAGAGAUGACUGCCCCGAGGGGGUAGGGAGGGUGGACAGCAGGACCCAGGACUCUGUGCAGGUCCAGACUGAGGGCGGUGGUGUCGGGAGUGGGUCUGGCAGGGAGUGGGUCUGGCAGGUGCGGGGGCAAGAGGGUGGGAAGAAGGUGAGAGUGCUGCGGUGAAAGAAAAA